UUAAAUUGAAGAGUUUGAUCAUGGCUCAGAUUGAACGCUGGCGGCAGGCCUAACACAUGCAAGUCGAACGGUAGCACAGAGAGCUUGCUCUCGGGUGACGAGUGGCGGACGGGUGAGUAAUGUCUGGGAAACUGCCUGAUGGAGGGGGAUAACUACUGGAAACGGUAGCUAAUACCGCAUAAUGUCGCAAGACCAAAGAGGGGGACCUUCGGGCCUCUUGCCAUCAGAUGUGCCCAGAUGGGAUUAGCUAGUAGGUGGGGUAACGGCUCACCUAGGCGACGAUCCCUAGCUGGUCUGAGAGGAUGACCAGCCACACUGGAACUGAGACACGGUCCAGACUC
rnacentral:rRNA from 1 species